ensembl:lncRNA
CUAUGUAUAUCUAUGGUCGGCACGUCUGGUAGCAUCUCUGGCUGCUGUUGACCUUGUUUUUGGAGUAAAACACGGUGGAAGCUGAAUUAGUGAGGAUGACUCCUGCUCCUGUCAUCUCUAAACUCCUCACACAUCUUUACCUGCACAUGAGGAAAAUCACUCCUGUAGAAUGCAGAUGUUCAGAGGGAGAUGAUGCCACAUCUGGUCCAGCUGAUGGAAGGUCUUGAAGUUCUCUGACUGGCCUCGACUGAAGAUGGUCGUCUCACUGGAUUUAAGAUGCACAAUGAGGGACGUCUGCAGCGACUGAGAAAGAGUCUCACCACAUCCUGACAUGAGGAAAAAGACUUAAUUGAAGACUGCAAUGAGAAAAACUAUCAGACAGCAGACGGCUGCAUUCAAGGCUACAGGAGGAGCCCUAUGAGGACGAGCCGGUCCACCUGAUGGUGGCCAGUCACUGCGGUUCAAAGCCAACACCGACUACGUGGACUUCUACUGGACCACACGGAGGCCUUCAAACCGGACCAACAAGUUCAGCGACUCCCCGACUCGUGGGUCUGAGGACGCCGCCGAGCCUCGG